rnacentral:lncRNA from 1 species
AUAUACAUAAAAAAUAAUAACAAAACACCUACUCAAACACCUUCCUUUUACUAUGUUUAAGCACACACCCUGACUACAAAUCAAUCAAAAUUAAAAAUAAACCAAACAACACAUUAAAUAAUUUUAAAUUUACAAAAUGAACCCCAAAAAAUUCAGGAAUAGUGCUGGGAAGCCCUUUAAAACUGCAAAAAAAUAGCGGCCCGUGGGUUCAUGCGCCGCCGCUGACGAAAGCAACAAAACUGGUGGAUCGGGAAUGUUUUUUUCUUCUCUGUCUUCCUAUGCUGUCGGUGAGGACCACCUUCACUUCCAACAAGGGAAGCAACGCACAAACAACAAUUGAUUUUAAUUUUAUUUUUCUCCUCCUCGAAUCUGGUUCUUUCUCAGCAGCUCUUUUUUCCCUUUGUUUCCUCUUCUUCUCUGUUUUAGGCGGUCAACUCUAAGGUCAGGGCGUCUGUAGCUUGUGGUCGGCGGGUUCUGUGGGUUCUACUUUACUUGGAUUGUUGUUGGAGGCCGGUUGGAGGAGAUGAAGGAGUGGGGGCUGCUGCUAUUGUCAUCUUUUCGACUAGCUUCGUUGUGGAGAAAAGAAUGUUACCCGGGCGCUGCCGUGUGUGGGCUGCUGGAUCUCGGGUGAGGACGACACUGCUGUGACUGACUGUGAAGACUGUGGGUUUGUGGCCACUGAAGCUGUGGUGGAGAUGGGAACAACUGUUGAGCAGGGAAGUUGAGAUGGGGUUGGCUGAGAGAUAAGAGGGAUGAUGGAGAGGCUGUCUUGGAGAAGGAAACGUUGAGGGGAGUCGGGAGCAGCUAUGAGGGAAGAUAUGUGGAAAUGGGGGUUGUACGAGGAGAAGGGAGUAAUAUGGUGGUUGUCUUGUAGCUAAAAGGAGGCUUGCAACUGAAGGGAGAAGGGAUAGUGAUGGAGGUCUCUCCGGUGGGCGUUGGUUGUCUAAGUGGAGUCGAGGGUCAGAUGGCUAAGUGAGCUGGCUGCUGAACGAGGGGAGUGACUCUUUUUUUUUUUUUUGCUGGGUAUGGUCAGUGCGGCUGGUUGUAAAGAGAUGGAUUUAGGCUUAGGGUUUCCUUGUCUUUCCCUUGGUUUUUUCAAAAUUGCCCCCACGCUUGUGUAUGUGUUGGAAACUUCUAGUUAUAAGCAAAUAUGUUACUACAUCCUUAAACUUGA